rnacentral:rRNA from 1 species
CUACGGGAGGCACCAGUGGGGAAUUUUGGACAAUGGGCGCAAGCCUGAUCCAGCCAUGCCGCGUGCAGGAAGAAGGCCUUCGGGUUGUAAACUGCUUUUGUCAGGGAAGAAAUCCUUUGGGCUAAUAUCCCGGAGGGAUGACGGUACCUGAAGAAUAAGCACCGGCUAACUACGUGCCAGCAGCCGCGGUAAUACGUAGGGUGCGAGCGUUAAUCGGAAUUACUGGGCGUAAAGCGUGCGCAGGCGGCUUUGCAAGACAGAUGUGAAAUCCCCGGGCUCAACCUGGGAACUGCAUUUGUGACUGCAAGGCUAGAGUGCGGCAGAGGGAGAUGGAAUUCCGCGUGUAGCAGUGAAAUGCGUAGAUAUGCGGAGGAAUACCGAUGGCGAAGGCAAUCUCCUGGGCCUGCACUGACGCUCAUGCACGAAAGCGUGGGGAGCAAACAGGAUUAGAUACCCUAGUAGUC